GGGUUGUGAGGUUAAGCGACUAAGCGUACACGGUGGAUGCCCUGGCAGUCAGAGGCGAUGAAGGACGUGCUAAUCUGCGAUAAGCGUCGGUAAGGUGAUAUGAACCGUUAUAACCGGCGAUUUCCGAAUGGGGAAACCCAGUGUGAUUCGUCACACUAUCAUUAACUGAAUCCAUAGGUUAAUGAGGCGAACCGGGGGAACUGAAACAUCUAAGUACCCCGAGGAAAAGAAAUCAACCGAGAUUCCCCCAGUAGCGGCGAGCGAACGGGGAGCAGCCCAGAGCCUGAAUCAGUGUGUGUGUUAGUGGAAGCGUCUGGAAAGGCGCGCGAUACAGGGUAACAGCCCCGUACACAAAAAUGCACAUGCUGUGAGCUCGAUGAGUAGGGCGGGACACGUGGUAUC
rnacentral:rRNA from 1 species